rnacentral:rRNA from 1 species
AGUGAACGCUGGCGGCAUGCCUAACACAUGCAAGUCGAACGGAAGCACAGUAAGCUCUUGCUCUUACGGUUGGCGAGUGGCGGACGGGUGACGCAUACAUCAGAAUCUACUUUUUCGGGGGGGAUAACGUAGGGCAACUUAUGCUAAUACCGCAUACGACCAACGGGUGAAAGCAGGGGAUCUUCGGACCUUGCGCGACUGUAUGAGCCGAUGUCGGAUUAGCUAGUUGGCGGGGUAAAGGCCUACCAAGGCGACGAUACGUAGCUGGCCUGAGAGGAUGAUCGGCCACACUGGAACUGAGACACGGUCCAGACUCCUACGGGAGGCAGCAGUAGGGAAUCUUGCGCAAUGGGCGCAAGCCUGACGCAGCCAUGCCGCGUGGGUGAUGAAGGCCUUCGGGUCGUAAAGCCCUUUUAUUGGGAAAGAAAAGCAGCGGGUUUAUACCCGGCUGUUCUGACGGUACCCAAUGAGAAAGCACCGGCUAACUUCGUG